GCCAGGUGUGGUGGCGGGCGCCUGUAAUCCUAGCUACUUGGGAGGCUGAGGCAGGAGAAUCGCUUGAGCCCAGGAAGCAGAGGCUGCAGUGAGCCAAGAUUGCACCACUGCAUGGCAGCCUGGGCAACAGAGUGAGACUCUGUCUCAA
rnacentral:sRNA from 1 species